UACGAAGGGGGCUAGCGUUGCUCGGAAUCACUGGGCGUAAAGGGCGCGUAGGCGGCCUGCUAAGUCGAACGUGAAAUCCCCGGGCUCAACCCGGGAACUGCGUCCGAUACUGACAGGCUUGAAUCCGGGAGAGGGAUGUGGAAUUCCAGGUGUAGCGGUGAAAUGCGUAGUUAUCUGGAGGAACACCGGUGGCGAAGGCGGCAUCCUGGACCGGUAUUGACGCUGAUGCGCGAAAGCCAGGGGAGCAAACGGG
rnacentral:rRNA from 1 species